AGAAGCCUGUUCUACCUAAGAGAGAGAACUGGACAAAAAUGCUGAACAGAUUGAUGGUUCACACUCUGUUUCAAAUAUAGAAAAUUAUCUAGAUGAAUGGAGUAAUUUCUCCUUAAGAAGAAAAUCCUCAGAAUUUCCAGGUCAUUUUACAAGUGGAGAAUAGACUGAAGAGAAUCAAGCAUGGAAGCAAGUAACCUCCCUGGAAAUUUACUGCGAUGCACUAGGUUGCUGAUCUGAGUGUUGAAGUAUCUACAGGGACAAGGAACGAGAACCAUACCAACACUUGGUGUUGCUGAGUACAAGACUAGCUGACUAUAGAGACUAGACUGGCUCAAAAAUGUGACUUGCUGGAAACUUGCCUGAGACAAUAGGAGUCAAUCAUCUUUCAAGUUCAAAGGAGGCCCUGGAACAGAGUCAAUCUGACUCCAGGGUGAAAAUCAGCUAUUUUCUUGUUACUAGACCGUGAGCUCUAAUUAAACUCUGACUUCAGGAGAAAAAUAUAGCUGGUCAAUUCAAUUAAAAAAUGCAUAAAGGUAGCUAUAUCACACUGCAAGAUGUAACCUGCUUGUCUGGAAUUUUCAUUAUUAAUUGGUUGACUUCACAAUUAUAUAGAGAAACAAAACUUCUGAUUUUUAAAAAAUUCCUGAAAGUUCAAAAUACUGGCUUGAGACUGGUUAUAUGCUUUUUAAGCAUUAUAUUUUCAGCAGCUGGUGUGUGCAUGAUUAAAAAGAUGGAGGUGGUGUGUUUUAUUUUAGACAACAUCUCAAACUCUUCCUGAAAAACUUUUCUGUUGAUAUCUGG
rnacentral:lncRNA from 1 species